UAUGCUUGCAUAUUAGACGCGAUCUCGAUAUGAAAGUGAAAGUAGAAACAUUGUGUAGCAGUUGAAGUAAAAUGUUAUAUUCAGAUCGUUAUCCAUAGGGUUCUUUCAACCAUUUAAUGAAAAAUUGUUUUUUUUUAUUAGGCCUAUAUAUGUAUUAAGCAACUGAAGUUCAGCGUCCCAGUGUCGUUUUUAUUCAAAGAACCCAAUGCUGAUUUGACUGAGUGACGAUUGAACAAAGUUAUUGAACCAAUGCCGAUUUUAUUGGCGAUUGCGUGAUGACAAAUCAGGUUCAAUAUACAGCCUGCCUUUUUCAUAACGAAUACAUUGAAGAACAGACACCAAGACCCCAAGCUUGCUUCUAAAUAGGCCUCACCCGUGCCUUAACAUGAGAAGUUUUCAAAUCAUUUGACCAUGCUCCAAAAGACUGAUGAGAUUUCUUAAGUGCUCAAUAAGCAAUGCAGUCACUGUCAGGGAAGUGAAGGCAGA